AUGAACAUCCCUUCAACCUCCGUUAUACUCCUGAAGAUGACUCCGGUGAAUAUUACUGUGAUAUCUGUGAAGAAGAACGAGAUCCCAAGCAAUGGUUCUACUACUGUGCAGAGUGCAGCUUUCCUGCUCAUCGUGAUUAGAUCCGAUGGUGCCAACUCGGUCAGCCUAGAGGAUGCUUUAGGGAUUGCACAGCACCAUGAUGCCAUCACUGGCAAUGCUAAACAACAUACAACCAAUGACCAUGCAAAACACAUGGCUUUUGGAGCCUCUGAGGCAGAAGCUGUUGUAAAUGCUGUCCUGUCAUGCUUCACUAAUAAGAAAUCAAGAGAUCAAUAUGGUUCUAUGAACCUAUUAUGGUCAGAGUUCAAAAUCAGAGUUCUUGUUGUAUAUAAAGUUAUAUACAAUUUGAAAUGGCUCACAAGUGGAUAUGGAAUUGAUGAAGCUGAGCCUUUUGUAGAAUGGGGUCCAAAAGGAGGAGCCCAAGUGAGAUCCCCUGCUGCUGCACCAGCAAGGACAGUAGGAUGGCGUGACCCUGGAUACAUACACACCAGUUUUUUGGAGGAGUUGUGGCCUAACAAAGGGUAUACAUACAAGCUGGGGCAUAGGUUGUUUAACGGUACAUGUAUUUGGAGUCAAGAAUACUGAUUUAGAGCGUCUCCUUAUCCUGGUCAAAAUUCUUUGCAACGUGUAAUCAUAUUUGUAGAUAUGGGAAAGGGCGAAGCUGAUGGUUCCUUUGAAUUUGAAGAUUUUCAGCCUGCAUCUCUGAACACUACUAAGCAGCUUAUUGAAGACUUAAAUAACAUUGAUAUAGUCUUCCAUAUUGGAGAUAUAGUCUAUGCUAUGGGUUAUAUUGCACAGUGGGACCAAUUCACUGCACAGAUUAAGCCAAUUGCAUCAACUAAGCCUUACAUGAUUGGAAGUGGUAACCAUGAGCAUGACUGGCCAGGAACUGGAUCCUUCUACCAGAACAUGGAUUCUGGAGGAGUGUGGUGUGUUAGCCGAGAACAUGUUUUAUGUCCCCGCUGAGAACAAGGCUAAUUUCUGGUACUCUACUGACUAUGGCAUGUUCCGAUUCUGCGUAGCUCACACUGAACUUGAUUGGAGAGAGGGAUCAGAGCAAUACAAGUUCAUUGAGAACUGCCUCACAUCAGUUGACAGACAAAGACAACCAUGGCUAAUCUUUCUUGCACAUAGAGUACUAGGUUAUUCUUCUGUGGACUUUUAUGUGGAAGAAGGAUCGUUUGAGGAACCAAUGGGAAGGGAGGACCUCGAAAAACUUUGGCAGAAGUACAAGGUUGACAUUGCCCUCUAUGGCCAUGUGCACUAUUAUGAAAGAUCAUGCCCGGUCUACGGGGUAAAGCUGUACCAUAGUCAUUUCUUCCUACAUUUUGCACUGCAUAGAUUCGGUAUCACCACAGACAUUGCAGUUUCUUAACCAACAAUUUAAUUGUUAAAAAAAUGGUUAAAGUAAUAAAAUCCACUCUUUACUAUCAGUUAAAACUUUUUGGAUAAGUGGUAGUUUAUCUUGGUAUUAGAUUAGGUGAUCUUAAGUUUGAACCAUGCCUCCACUUUACCUCCCAUUCAAAAGUUAAAUAUUCCACGUGUUGGAUUCACUUUUUGAGGGGUAGUCUAAGCCUUAUGAGGGACAACAUAGAAUAGUAGUUAAGCAUUUAAUUAAAUUCACUCUGUUCUAUCAAUUUAAGCUUUGAGUACUAGUGGUAAUUUAUAUCUUUUUUCUUCUUGCUGCAGAAUAUCUGCACCAGUCAAGAGAAACACAACUAUGUAGGCCCCUUGAAGGGAACGAUUCAUGUGAUUGCUGGAGGAGGAGGAGCAAGCCUUCACGAAUUUGCUUCCAUCAAUACCACGUGGAGUGUAUAUAAAGACUAUGAUAACGGAUUCAUCAAACUUACCGCAUUUGAUCAUUCACACCUUUUGUUUGAAUACAAGAAGAGCAGGGAGGGAAAAGUGUACGACUCUUUCACAAUCUCUCGGGAUUAUAGGGACAUCUUGACCUGUAUUGUUGAUAGUUGUCCAGAAUUUACACUAGCACAGUAGUUUUUUUUUUUUUUUGAUACAAGCACAGUAGUAUCUUGAUACAAAUAUAAGGGAAAUUUUUGUUGAUGAGUGCUAAGUGCCAUUUUUAAAUAAAGA